AUUGAACGCUGGCGGCAGGCCUAACACAUGCAAGUCGAGCGGAUGAAGGGAGCUUGCUCCUGGAUUCAGCGGCGGACGGGUGAGUAAUGCCUAGGAAUCUGCCUGGUAGUGGGGGAUAACGUCCGGAAACGGGCGCUAAUACCGCAUACGUCCUGAGGGAGAAAGUGGGGGAUCUUCGGACCUCACGCUAUCAGAUGAGCCUAGGUCGGAUUAGCUAGUUGGUGGGGUAAAGGCCUACCAAGCCGACGAUCCGUAACUGGUCUGAGAGGAUGAUCAGUCACACGGGAACUGAGACACGGUCCAGACUCCUACGGGAGGCAGCAGUGGGGAAUAUUGGACAAUGGGCGAAAGCCUGAUCCAGCCAUGCCGCGUGUGUGAAGAAGGUCUUCGGAUUGUAAAGCACUUUAAGUUGGGAGGAAGGGCAGUAAGUUAAUACCUUGCUGUUUUGACGUUACCAACAGAAUAAGCACCGGCUAACUUCGUG
rnacentral:rRNA from 1 species